rnacentral:rRNA from 1 species
CAGUAGCCGCGGUAAUACGUAGGUCCCGAGCGUUGUCCGGAUUUAUUGGGCGUAAAGCGAGCGCAGGCGGUUUGAUAAGUCUGAAGUUAAAGGCUGUGGCUCAACCAUAGUUCGCUUUGGAAACUGUCAAACUUGAGUGCAGAAGGGGAGAGUGGAAUUCCAUGUGUAGCGGUGAAAUGCGUAGGUAUAUGGAGGAACACCGGUGGCGAAAGCGGCUCUCUGGUCUGUAACUGACGCUGAGGAGCGAAAGCGUGGGGAGCGAACAGGAUUAGAUACCCCAGUAGUCCCUGUCUCUUAUACA